UCCAAGAAUACAGGUUACGCAUUCACUUGCUUUAUGAAUUGCUCGUGUAUUUAUUGGCCCCAUAGGUAGAUAUAUGAAAGUACUUGAGUACUUUACCUAUCUUUAGGUAUGUAUUACCUUUUUUAUAAAAUUUGAAUAGAUAAUGGAAUAUUUACCAAAAGUUGUUGUUUCUAGAUAUAAGUUCUCCGAAUAAAUUGUUUCUGCAAAAACAAAGUACAUAUGAAAAUGAAACGUAGGUACUAGGUAGGAGGUACAUAUACGUCAUGGGUAUUUUUCAAAAUAAUUUUCAUGUUUCUUGUCAACUCUCCUGAAUAUUCUUUAUCAAUAAUUUUAAAUCAAAACGCAACAGCCAAUAACCUCACAAAAUUCGGCUUUUGUCUAUAAUUCAGCACCUACGAGUAUAAAUAAAGCCAAAAUGAGUACGUCCUGAGCAUUCCAAAUUGUGACUUGUUUCUGGUAUUAGGUGCUUAGAUACUUUGAGUAGAAAAUCAAAUACCUACUUAAUUAUGAAGACUUUGAGUUUUGUUGCUUUAGCAUUGUUUAGUGCGUGUUAUUUUGCCACUGUUGCAAUUAAUUUGGUUCAUGCAGGAAAAAAAUGUAGAGAACCUGACCCAGGUUGCGGUGACGACUAAAAAUGGCAAUAGCCGAAUGCAUCAGGGAUAUGCCAAGUGGAGGCUCCUGUGUUCUCUUGUCGUUUCUAUUGGGUACUUAUCAAUUUGGUAAUUACGAUUCAUAAUGUUAAGAUUAUACUUACAGCUUUAUUGCAGAUGAUACACUUAGAGUGGUCUACCUAAUACCUAUAGACAUUUAAUUAAGUCCAUAUCAGGCCAAAUCGAUGCAUUUUAUUUUUUAAUAUGAUUUCUUCAAAAAUAUACUUACUUAAUAAUUUUAUUCAUUCUACAUAUAUUACAUAUUGGCCUAUUAUUUUUUCACAAGUUCGGAAUUUGUUCCUUCGUCGAAUGGAAAAGUUACCUACUUACCUAGGUAAAAUUCUUCUCAUACCAAUAUAAAAAAAAGAGAGAGUGGGACAUGAGCAAUGCUCUGAGCAACCCCAACUCCUGAAGAAAAGGGAAGGGGAAUAGAAAAAUAUCAACUUAUCGAAAGAACUAAAAAUGAGUAUCGAAUUAUAAGUUUUUGAAGAUGCUAAUUCUGAUGUUGAAAAUUAUCUAACUCCGAAAUGAAAAAUGAGCUUCCCAAAGAGGUUGGAUUUUGAUAUCCAUUUUACUUUUCAGAAUUUUAAAGCUUAAUCUCCUCCUCAGGGUCUCAUUUUUAAUACGAGGACGAAAGGUUAUAUCAAAAUGAGAUUCAGAAUCUCUGAAAACUUGAAUUUUGACACCCACGAAAAAGGGUACGUGAGUUUCAGAAUCCGAAUCAAUAUCUGACUAAAAAAAUAAACAAGUACGAGUAAUUUAUUUCGAUGAUUUGAAUUUUUUUAUUCAAUUUCGCCCAUCUCCGCUUUUUGGGGCUUAUUUUCAAAAAACAUUUCAAAGGAUGUAAAACUUUGAGAAAAAAUUGCAAAAGUACGUCGUACAUGAAGGCAAAAUUCUACGGUACGUAGGUAGUUGGAAUUUUUUUCUUGUGUAACGAAGCUUCCACAAAAGACUCAAAAUUGAUCCAUGUAAUGCAUACAUCGUUGAAAAAGUUGUCAACAUUGCAUUUGACAUUCUAGCUUAAAGGUCGGUGUGAUCAGUGGCGUAGCCAGAAUUUUCUUAAGUAGGGAGAAAAAUCAGAUUUUUAGCACAAAAACUCGAAAUUUAGAGCUAAUUAUCUGAAAACUUUUGAUUAUAUGAAAAUGAAGAUAAAAUUACGAGAAAAACGUCCAAUUUCGCGUGUUAUCUUUUUAAAUUUUCGUUCGCAAGGGGUACGAUGGCCUCAUCUGCCCCUCUUGGCUACGCUACUGAGUAUGAUGACCCAGCAAGUUAGCACCAACUUCCAAUCCAAUGUAGGGUUAAGGACUUAUGAGUUAUGAGACUAAUAUUAGCGAUUAUGAUGCUCUGACGUUUUUGUUUUGCUUCGUUUAGGUACCUAUAUUUUGUUAAUAGUGUGCGUAAUUCGUGAGUAUUAUUUGAACCAAAAAAAAAUAUUAUAUAAUACCUAAUUAAUGAAAAAAUUGCAAACAUUUUUAUUAAAAAAAAAAAAUUGGAAGAUUUUGAACGUGCCUAUGGAUAUGGUUUGCUGCAUUCCGUAUUGAGCGUAAAAAUAAAAUAAAAUACAUCGGAAUUAUUUACACAUCGAGUACUUACCUAAAUAAGUUCAUAAAAAAAAUCUGUGAAGCUUUUUCAGUUUUCAACUCAUUGUCAUUAACCGAUUAUAUCGACUUCCAUUCUAUCUUAUUUUGAACCCAUUUUUGAUUUUUUAAAUAUUUGUGAGCAAUUUUACUAGCCGGACUAUUUGAAGCCCGACAUGGGUAGGUAGGUACAUUACAUCAUAUAUGUAGUACAGAUAUUCUGUUAAACAUGUGCCUUCGUUUUUUUGGUAAUCUGAAUGAAACGAUUAUGUGGGUAAGUUUCUUUUUUUUUAAACUCAAUUUUGAAGAAUUUCAAGAAAAUGUUCGUGAUUUUGAACCAAGUACAUAGGUAAGUAUUUUAUUUUUUAUAUCAUAUUUUUUGUGUCUUUAUCAACAAUUUUUUUAUGCUGAGUACCUUUCGUUGUAAAUUUUUUUUGUACUUGAAUUAUACUUUUUUUACACAGUGAGUUGAUAUUUGUAGCAUAAAUUUUCUAUUCACUCCUUUUCCUUCCAUUUUUCACGUGAGUCAUUUAUUUACGAGUACCUAAUACUUAAUUUUUCUGUUUAAAAUAUACAUAGGUACAUAGUACAUACAGUACGUUUGUUGGUUUACAGAAGGAAAUUGAAAAAACACGUACGUCGCUGUAUCUAAACCUACGUGUUCUUUUUUAAACGAAUAAAAAUUACUUACAUCCAUAAAAGUCGAAUGACCGUUUGUAAUUAAUUUAUUUGAUUAGGUAUAGGUAGUUACGUACCUACUGUAUUUUGCAUGGCUGUUUGUUAAUUGAACGUUCGUGGAAAAAUUCCUGAGAUUUUUUUUUUUGGAACGAAGCACUUUCCAAGAAUUUAUGACCUAACUUACCUGAUGAUAGUCAAGUGCUUUACUUAUGAUGUUACCUUUUUUAAAAAAUAAAAUUUGAAUAGGUAUACCAAAUUAAUUGAAAAUGCUAAAAAAUUUAUAUAUUUUGCCUUUCAGAUAAAAGCUCACGAAGUUAUGUUUCUGAGAAAGUAAAUUAUAGAAAUAAAACGUCUUUUUUUUGUAAAUUUUCCUUGCUAUUUUUUUAAAUUGGUUAUUUUAAUCAAAAAACACAAAAAUCUGUUUUUAUUUCAUUUGUAGAUAUCAUACCUACGGGCAGAUAGCAUGAGUAAAUUAAAACUCAAACUGACUGCAGUGCUCGAAGCAUUCUAAAUUGUGUCUUGUUUCAGGCGUUAUUGCUUAAGCCAGAAUAGAUAGUGAUUGGAAAUUGACAAAAAUAUUUUUCUUCUGAUAAAAGUUGUCAAACUGACGUUUCCGAGAAAAUAAAACAUGGAAAUUGAACGUCAACUUGUUUAUUUUGUUAUCAGUUUUAUUUUUUAUUUUUUGUAAAUUCUCUUUAGUGUCAUUCAUAAAUCAUUUUAAUCAGGAAAAUAUACCGUAACAAGCAUUAACCUUACAAAAAUUGUUUGUUUUUUUUUCUUUUCAUUAUACAUAUACACCUACCCACUUACUUAAGUAGUAUAAAUUAACUCGAAGUUGCAAAGAGUGCUGAACGCUUUUUGAAUUGUGAUUUGUUGCUGAUGUUACUUUUGAGUCAAAAAUCAAAUAUCCACGCAUUUAUAAUGUCAUAUGUUGCAUUGUUAAAAUUGUAUAGUGUGUGUUAUAUAACCUUUGUUAUGUUAAAUUUGGUUUAUGGAUUACCUGUACCUAAUAAUAAUGGUGCCCUCCAAUGUACCCUCUGUAAAUGGGGUUACUGAUUCUUAAAUUACUUUUUCUUUUUUCAAAAUACCUACAUUCCAAAAUAAUUAGCGUUCGAUUUUUUAUUUUUUUGGACGCUUAAGUAAAUAUGAUAACACCGUGUACGUAAGUAGAGAAUCUGAAUCGAAAUGCAAUUAAUAAUAAUGUCAAUAACCGAGUAUACCUAAGUACCUACAUAAAUCUGCAUAUAUUUUAGUUGAAAUAGAUGUCAAUUGAAAUUUGAAACCGAUACGUAAAUAAAUAAUUUUAUCCUAGAAAUAUGGAACUCUUAUGGAAUUCUUUUGAACACAAUAAAUAAGUAAUUAUGUA